GAUGAACGCUAGCUACAGGCUUAACACAUGCAAGUCGCGGGGCAGCAUGGGGGUUGCUUGCAAUCCCCGAUGGCGACCGGCGCACGGGUGAGUAACGCGUAUCCAACCUGCCCUUCACCACGGGAUAACCCGGCGAAAGUCGGACUAAUACCGUAUGUUGUCCAUUGACGGCAUCCGAUUUGGACGAAAGGCUUGGCGGUGAGGGAUGGGGAUGCGUCCGAUUAGCCAGACGGCGGGGUAACGGCCCACCGUGGCUACGAUCGGUAGGGGUUCUGAGAGGAAGGUCCCCCACACUGGAACUGAGACACGGUCCAGACUCCUACGGGAGGCAGCAGUGAGGAAUAUUGGUCAAUGGGCGUAAGUCUGAACCAGCCAAGUAGCGUGCAGGAUGACGGCCCUAUGGGUUGUAAACUGCUUUUAUGCGGGGAUAAAGUGGCCCACGUGUGGGCUUUUGCAGGUACCGCAUGAAUAAGGACCGGCUAAUUCCGUG
rnacentral:rRNA from 1 species